CAAUCUCUUUCCGACAACGUGCUACCAUAGAUGAAGGAAAUGUCCCGGGAUAUUAUCCGGGUGUGGUAGACUAAAGUGGAUUAAGUUUGUGGCGUACUAAAUACGGAUAGGAACACGAUUGAGAAUCGAGAACAAGUAACCUGGAGAGUCCGACGAGUAAGAGCAAAAGCAGCUUCCGGGAAACCAGCUCGUUAGUCGGAUGACGCUUGUCCGGUCGCUGCACCAGAUCUGGUUCCAUACGGUUCUCCUGCUCCUGUCGCCAAAGCCGAAACCGCAGUCACAGUAAAUCGGACCGUUCGAUCCGUACCGGCCGCAACCGGAUGCCUUUCUCUUGUUCACCCCAACAUGUUGUGACAACUACAUAUUAUGUUUCGGAGCCGCUCGAAUCUUUUCUUGGUUUGUCCCCCUGGUCUACCCGGACAUUCCACAGCCCUCGAUCCGGAGAAACAAAGUCCGACUCCGGUGCGCCCUCGUCCGGCGGAUCGAUUCCAUAGUUCGUGGCCGGAUGCACCAAAUUCUUUGUCGGUCUUCCGGAAAUGACGCUUGCUGUCAGACGCGGAAGUUCUGAUCGGUCGCACGAGGCAGAAAUCAUCCAGUUGAAUCGCCAGCAUCAGCAGAUUAUGGCCUUCCACGAGAACGAACAGGGCGAGUGCGAUCACUGAAUAGCGUAAGCUACAAUAUUUCAUGAAUAAAUGAAAGUUGCUUGUAUUUAAAAUUGAGGUGAAAAGUCAUCGAUUGUGAUUGGACACUCAAUAAUAUUUUAACUGAAUGAAUGUACA